rnacentral:rRNA from 1 species
GAUGAACGCUGGCGGCGUGCCUAAUACAUGCAAGUCGAGCGAAGCGGGGACGGGUGAGUAACACGUGGGUAACCUCCUAUAAGACUGGGAUAACUUCGGGAAACCGGAGCUAACCCGGAUACUUCUAGCACGAUCUGAGCUGCAUUAGCUAGUUGGUAAGGUAACGGCUUACCAAGGCAACGAUGCAUAGCCGGCCUGAGAGGUUGAUCGGCCACACUGGAACUGAGACACGGUCCAGACUCCUACGGGAGGCAGCAGUAGGGAAUCUGCCGCAAUGGGCGCAAGCCUGACGGAGCAACGCCGCGUGAGUGAUGAAGGUCUUCGGAUCGUAAAACUCUGUUAUUAGGGAAGCGGUACCUAAUCAGAAAGCCACGGCUAACUACGUGCCAGCAGCCGCGGUAAUUC